AUAAUUAGUUUAAAAAAAACAUUAAAUUGCAAAUUUAAAUAUAUAUAUAUACAAAUAUAUAUAUUAUA
rnacentral:tRNA from 1 species